GGAGGGGCCUUGGCUCAGUGGUAGAGCAUCUGCUUUGCAUGCAGAAGGUCCCAGGUUCAAUCCCUGGCAUCUCCA